rfam:Triticum urartu cultivar G1812 contig834557, whole genome shotgun sequence.
CAAGUACUCCCUCCGUUCCAAAUUACUUGUUUAGAAAUUGAUGUAUCUAGAACUAAAAUACAUUUAGAUACAUCCAUACUUGCGACAAGUAAUUCGGAACAAAGGGAGUAGUUC